rnacentral:rRNA from 1 species
UACGUAGGUGGCAAGCGUUGUCCGGAAUUAUUGGGCGUAAAGAGCUCGUAGGCGGUUCGUCGCGUCGGCUGUGAAAUCCCGAGGCUCAACCUCGGGUCUGCAGUCGAUACGGGCGGACUGGAGUUCGGCAGGGGAGACUGGAAUUCCUGGUGUAGCGGUGAAAUGCGCAGAUAUCAGGAGGAACACCGGUGGCGAAGGCGACUACCUGGCCUGUUCUUGACGCUGAGGCGCGAAAGCUAGGGGAGCAAACGGG